rnacentral:rRNA from 1 species
CAAUUAGAGAGUUUGAUCCUGGCUCAGAACGAACGCUGGCGGCGUGGAUUAGGCAUGCAAGUCGAACGAUCCCGAGCAAUCGGGAUAGUGGCGCAAGGGUGAGUAACGCGCGGGCAAUUUGCCCUUUGGAUGGGGAUAACCCUGCGAAAGUAGGGCUAAUACCGAAUAACACCACUCGGUCGCAUGGCCGGGGGGUCAAAGGUUCCGUUUAGGCGGUUCCGCCGGAGGAGAAGCCCACGCCCUAUUAGCUAGUUGGUGAGGUAACGGCUCACCAAGGCUUUUGAUGGGUAGCCGACCUGAGAGGGUGACCGGCCACACUGGGACUGAGACACUGCCCAGACUCCUACGGGAGGCUGCAGUCGAGAAGCUUCCGCAAUGGGCGAAAGCCUGACGGAGCGACGCCGCGUGGAGGAUGAAGGUCUUCGGAUUGUAAACUCCUGUCACAUGGGAAGAAAGCUCGUAGAGUUUACUCUUAGAGUGUGACGGUACCAUGAGAGGAAGCCCUGGCUAACUCCGUGCCAGCAGCCGCGGUAAUACGGGGAGGGCGAGCGUUGUUCGGAUUUACUGGGCGUAAAGAGCGUGUAGGUGUCCAUGUAAGUCGAGUGUGAAAGCCCCCCGCUCAACGGGGGAACUGCACUUGAUACUGCAAGGAUAGAGUUUAGGAGAGGAGAGCGGAAUUCUCGGUGUAGCGGUGAUAUGCGUAGAUAUCGAGAAGAACACCUGUGGCGUAGGCGGCUCUCUAGCCUGUAACUGACACUGAGACGCGAAAGCUAGGGUAGCGAACGGGAUUAGAUACCCCGGUAGUCCUAGCCGUAAACGAUGUGCACUUGGUGUUCGUCCGCGAGGAGGAGUGCCGAAGCUAACGCGUUAAGUGCACCGCCUGGGGAGUACGGCCGCAAGGCUGAAACUCAAAGGAAUUGACGGGGGCCCGCACAAGCGGUGGAGCAUGUGGCUCAAUUCGAUGCAACGCGAAGAACCUUACCGGGGUUUGACAUGACGGUCGUAUCCGGUGAAAGCCGGAGUCAGUUAGGCUGGACCGCCACAGGUGUUGCAUGGCUGUCGUCAGCUCGUGCCGUGAGGUGUUGGGUUAAGUCCCGCAACGAGCGCAACCCCGACUUUUAGUUGCUAACUGGUUUCGAUUUAUCG